rnacentral:rRNA from 1 species
GCCUGCCCAGUGACUACGGGUUCAACGGCCGCGGUAUUUUGACCGUGCAAAGGUAGCGCAAUCACUUGUCUUUUAAAUAGAGACCUGUAUGAAUGGCUAAACGAGGGCUUAACUGUCUCCCCCUUCAAGUCAGUGAAAUUGAUCUAUCCGUGCAGAAGCGGGUAUAACCAUACAAGACGAGAAGACCCUUUGGAGCUUAAGGUACAAAAUUCAAUCACGUUAAGCAACUCAAUAAAAAGCAAGAACUUAGUGAAAAAUGAAAUUUUACCUUCGGUUGGGGCGACCACGGAGGAAAAACAAGCCUCCGAGUGGAAUGGGCCAAAUCCCUAAAACUAAGAGAAACAUCUCUAAGCCACAGAACAUCUGACCAAAAAUGAUCCGGCUAAUAAGUCGAUCAACGAACCAAGUUACCCUAGGGAUAACAGCGCAAUCCUCUCCCAGAGUCCAUAUCGACGAGGGGGUUUACGACCUCGAUGUUGGAUCAGGACAUCCUAAUGGUGCAGCCGCUAU